UAAUAAACGGGAUUACAGUGGCAGCUCCCGAUUUUUCAUCGGGACUAUAACGGAAAGCCCGGCGAACA
rnacentral:misc_RNA from 1 species